rnacentral:rRNA from 1 species
GACGAACGCUGGCGGCGUGCUUAACACAUGCAAGUCGAACGGAAAGGCCCUGCUUGCAGGGUACUCGAGUGGCGAACGGGUGAGUAACACGUGGGUGAUCUGCCCUGCACUUCGGGAUAAGCCUGGGAAACUGGGUCUAAUACCGGAUAGGAGCCAUUUUUAGUGUGAUGGUUGGAAAGUUUUUUCGGUGUAGGAUGUGCUCGCGGCCUAUCAGCUUGUUGGUGGGGUAAUGGCCUACCAAGGCGGCGACGGGUAGCCGGCCUGAGAGGGUGGACGGCCACAUUGGGACUGAGAUACGGCCCAGACUCCUACGGGAGGCAGCAGUGGGGAAUAUUGCACAAUGGGCGCAAGCCUGAUGCAGCGACGCCGCGUGGGGGAUGACGGCCUUCGGGUUGUAAACUCCUUUCGCUAGGGACGAAGCUUUUUGUGACGGUACCUAGAUAAGAAGCACCGGCUAACUACGUG